CCUACGGGCGGCAGCAGUGAGGAAUAUUGGUCAAUGGACGUGAGUCUGAACCAGCCAAGUAGCGUGAAGGAUGACUGCCCUAUGGGUUGUAAACUUCUUUUAUAUGGGAAUAAACUGUUCCACGUGUGGGAUUUUGUAUGUACCAUAUGAAUAAGGAUCGGCUAACUCCGUGCCAGCAGCCGCGGUAAUACGGAGGAUCCGAGCGUUAUCCGGAUUUAUUGGGUUUAAAGGGAGCGUAGGUGGAUUGUUAAGUCAGUUGUGAAAGUUUGCGGCUCAACCGUAAAAUUGCAGUUGAAACUGGCAGUCUUGAGUACAGUAGAGGUGGGCGGAAUUCGUGGUGUAGCGGUGAAAUGCUUAGAUAUCACGAAGAACUCCGAUUGCGAAGGCAGUUCACUGGACUGCAACUGACACUGAGGCUCGAAAGUGUGGGUAUCAAACAGGAUUAGAUACCCCAGUAGUC
rnacentral:rRNA from 1 species